rnacentral:rRNA from 1 species
GGUUUGAUCAUGGCUCAGAUUGAACGCUGGCGGGAUGCUUUACAUGCAAGUCGAACGGCACGGACUUCGGUCUGGUGGCGAGUGGCGAACGGGUGCAGAACAAUGGAACGUGCCUAGUAGCGGGGAUAAUCACGCGAAAGCGUAGCUAAUACCGCAUACCCUUCGGGGAAAGCGGGGGACCUUCUGGCCCGCACCUGAAGAUAGGGAAGCGGCCGAUAUCGAUUAGCUAGUUGCGGGGUAACGGCUCACCAAGGCGACGAUCCGUAGCUGGUUUGAGAGGACGACCAGCCACACUGGGACUGAGACACGGCCCAGACUCCUACGGGAGGCAGCAGAAUUUUGGACAAUGGGGAAACCCUGAUCCAGCCAUCCGCGUGUGCGAUGGGGUUACCUUCGCUGUAAAGCACUUGGCAGGAAAGAAACGGUACGGAUAAUACCUCAGCAACUGAUUUACCUGCAGGACAAUAACAAGCACCGGCUAACUACGUGCCGGGCAGCCGCGGUAAUACGUAGGGUGCAAGCGUUAAUCGGAAUUACUGAAGGCGUAAAGCGUGCGCAGGCGGUUCGGAAAGAAAGAUGUGAAAUCCCAGAGCUUAACUUUGGAACUACAUUUUUAACUACCGAGCUAGAGGCUGGGGAGGGAGGUGGAAUUCCGCGUGUAGCAGUGAAAUGCGUAGAUAUGCGGAGGAACACCGAUGGCGAAGGCAGCCUCCUGGGAUAACACUGACGCUCAUGCACGAAAGCGUGGGGAGCAAACAGGAUUGAUACCCUGGUAGUCCACGCCCUAAACGAUAUCAACUAGCCGUCGGGGCCUUCGUGGCCUUCGGUAGCGCAGCUAACGGGUGAAGUUGACCGCCUGGGAGUACGGUCGCAAGAUUAAACUCAAAGGAAUUGACGGGGACCCGCACAAGCGGUGGAUGAUACGCGUGGAUUAAUUGAUGAAAUUGCGCGAAAACCUUACCUACCCUUGACAUGUCUGGAAUCCCGAAGAGAUUUGGGAGUGCUCGCAAGAGAACCGGAACACAGGUGCUGCAUGGCUGUCGUCAGCUCGUGUCGUGAGAUGCUGCUGUCCAACGAGCGCAACCCUUGUUAGUUACUACGGAAAGGGCACCCUAAUGAGACUGCUACAGACAAACCGGAGGAAGGUGGGGAUGCGACGUCGGUCCUCAUGGCCUUUACGGUAGGGCUUCACACGUCAUACAAUGGGACAGAGGGUCGCUAACCCGCGAGGGGGAGCCAAUCCCAGAAACCCGGAUCGUAGUCCGGAUCGCAGUCUGCAAACUCGACCUGCGUGAAGUCGGAAUCGCUAGUAAUCGCGGAUCAGCAUGUCGCGGUGAAUAUUGUUCCCGGGUCUUGUACACACCGCCCGUCACACCAUGGGAGGGGUUUUACUUGAAGUAGUUAGCCUAACCGUAAGGAGGGCGAUUACCACGGUAGAUUCAUGACUGGGGUGAAGUCGUAACAAGGUAG